UUUCUCAUUUCAGAUUUCAGAAAUUAAAAAGAAUUAUUCUUCAAAUAUUAUUUUUUUUUCAAAUUUCAAAUAUUGAAAAAUUUCAAGAAGUAAUCUUUAAUUGCACAGUAUGGCGCAUUAGAUUUGUAAAAUCUUUGAUCACAUUUAUUUAUUUGUUAUGCCGAAUCUAACAGUGUAUUUAGAUUUUUAAUUUUGGGUCCAGUUUUCAAAUUGGUCUACAUUAAUGUCCAAAGGGUCCAAAAUUAAACUUUGUUUGAUUUUAGCAAAAAUUGAAUAUAUGAGGUUCUUUGAUAUGCUGAAUCUAAACAUGUAUUUAGAUUUUUGAUUUUUGGCCCAGUUUUCAAGUUGGUCCAAAUUGGGGUCCAAAAUUAAACUUUGUUUGAUUUCAACAAAAAUUGAAUAUAUGGGGUUCUUUGAUAUGCUGAAUCUAACCAUGUAUUUAGAUUUUUUAUUUGUGGACCCCGUUAUCUAAUUGGUUCAUAUUGAGGUCAAAAGGGUCCAAAAUUAAACUUUGUUUGAUUUCAUCUAAAAUUGAAUUAUUGGAGUUCUUUGAUAUUCCAAAUCUAACCGUGUAUUUAGGUUUUUAAUUUUGGGUCCUGUUUUUUAAAUUGGUCUACAUUGAGGUCCAAAGGGUCCAAAAUUAAACUUAGUUUGAUUUUAACAAAAAUUGAAUUCUUGGGGUUCUUUGAUAUGCUGAAUCUAAACAUGUGUUUAGAUUUUUGAUUAUGGGCCCAGUUUUCAAGUUGGUCCAAGUUGGGGUCCAAAAUUAUAUUUUUUUUGAUUUCAACAAAAAUUGAAUAUAUGGGGUUCUUUGAUUUGCUGAAUCUAACCAUGAACUUAGAUUUUUUAUUUGUGGGCCCCGCUAUCAAAUUGGUUCAUAUUGAGGUCAAAAGGGUCCAAAAUUAAACUUUGUUUGAUUUCAUCAAAAAAUUGUAUUAUUGGGGUUUUUUGAUAUUCCAAAUCUAACCGUGUAUUUAGAUUUUUAAUUUUAAGUCCCGUUUUUUAAAUUGGUCUACAUUAAGGUCCAAAGGGUCCAAAAUUAAACUUUGUUUGAUUUUAACAAAAAUUGAAUAUAUGGGGUUCUUUGAUAUGCUGAAUCUAACCAUGUAUUUUGAUUUUGGACAUUGGACCAUAAUAGGUAAAUUAAAAAAAUUCAAGUUCUUAGACCACAUUCUUUCUGUGUCAGAAACCUAUGCUGUGUCAAAUAUUUAAUAACAAUCCAAAUUCAGAGCUGUAUCAAGCUUGAAUGUUGUGUCCAUACUUGCCCCAACUGUUCAGGGUUCGACCUCUGCGGUCGUAUUAAGCUGCGCCCCAGCGAAGCAUUUUAUUUAUCAGUAUGAAUCAUUUAUAAGUUAUUGAUGAGUUCAUAAUCUUGCAGGCUCAGAUAUCUCUAUGGUCAAAUAACAGUUUAAUUUACAAUGCUUCUGAUGUAACUUCAAUAGUAAGCUUAUACAAUACAUAUUGUCUAAUUUUUGUCUCGCCUUGACGGAGUCAAAAAGCGAGACAUAGGUAUGCUGUUUCUGGCGUCGGCGAAGGUGGAGGCGGUGGCGUCAACAAUGUAUUAAUUUGUGAUUAGGUCUUGUUCAUGGGGAACCACUAGUGGUAGGUCAAUGAUAUUUGGUAUGCAGUUGUAUAAGCAUUGGCAUAUCUCAUUUCCAUGGAGAUUAUUUGCCUCCGCCCCCUUAGUCAUGGUCUAUAGACUUUGAAAAUUUUGCUAAGUUAACAAUGUAUUAGUUUGUGAUUAGGUCAGUUCAAGGGGAACCAUUAGUGGUAGGCCAAUGUUAAUUGGUGUUCAGUUGUAUAAGCAUUAGCACAUCUCAUUUCCAUGGAGAAUAUUUGGCCCCGCCCCUCAGUCAUGGUCUAUUUACUUUGAAACUUUUGCUAAGUUUACAUGUAUUAGUUUGUGAUUAGAUCAGUUUAAGAUGAACUGCUAAUGUUAAGUCAAUGAUAUUUGGUAUGCAAAUUUAUUGGCAUUUGCAAGUAUCGUUUCCAUGGAGAUUAUAUAGCCCCAUCCCUGAUCAUGGUUCAUUGACUUUGAAACUUUUACAUAGUUUACAAGUUAAUGUUUGUGUUUAGGUUUGUUUAAAGGGAACGACUUAUAAUAAGUCAAUGGUAUUUGGUAUGCAGUUGUAUUAGCAUUGGCACAUCUCAUUCCAUGGAGAUUGUUUAGCCAUGUACCUUCAGUCAUGGUUCAGCGACUUUGAAUAUUUGCAUAACUUACAUGUUAAACUAUUGCUAUUUUAAUUUCAACAUUUGCAUUUUCAAAAUUACAAAAAGGCGAGCCAUAUCUCUGUGAUAACAGUUUAUUUCCAUGUUGCAGUCUGAUUUCUUUUAGCUGUAUGCACCUUGCUUAAGUGAAAUUUUGUUUGAAGCAAGUGCAGAUUAUUAAAAACUAUUCUUACCAUCUAAUUUCUAACUUCAUGAAAAGUUUUUGAACACCUAGUUAUCUAGAUCAAUAGUUUUCAUAGUUAAAUUUUGUAUUGGUUUUCUUCAAAUUGGUCAUUUGUUGAAAUUUAUUAGCCUUUUGCUAGUGAAAAGUAAUAUUUUUUUUCUAAUCAUUGUUUCAAUAGUUAUUAAACUAUUGAUAUUUUGUUUGAAAAGAAAAAGAAAAUGUUUUUGUUAGAUAAGUGAACAUUUUGUAAAAAAUAUUGAAAGCAUAUGCAAGGGAGAUAAUUUUCAUUGUGCUAACAUAUCAUUGAUCUUGCUGUUUAAUUAUUUCCCUUUAAUAUCAGUACUUCAGUAAUUAUAACUAUAGAGAAAAAUAUUCAAAUUACUAUUGCACAGCACUUUGUUGCAAAACAAAGAAAUGAUUCAUUAAAAAAAGUUCAGAACUAAUUACUUAUGUAAUGUCAUUACGAUAUAAAUUUUCAUAUACACUAGUACCUAAUAAAUAGGUUUCCAAAUUAGUCAAGAAAAAAGAAAGUCAAACACUUGAAUAAGAUGUAAAGAAUAUUUUUUAUUACAUUGGUCUUGCUUCAUACAAAUAAUCUUUCACUAGUAAUAAUAAAAAAAAUUGCAUCAGUUGAUCAGUGUGAAGAGAUGAUUUCAAACUGCAUGUUAGAAAAACAUUUUGGCCAAUUGGUUUGUGAAUUGACAAAGCCUUUUGUAUAAGAAGAUAUUGGUACAUGUACAUGUAGAAGGUACACAAGUAUUUAAAAGUGCUAUCUGUUUUUACAUAAAUAUUGUUAUUAAUAAUUAUUUGUUUCAAACAGCUGCAUGUGUUGUGGAUUAAUACAACUUUAUGGUAAAUGUUUUGAUAUACAUUAAACUUUUAAUUAUUAAAAAGCAUAUAAUUGAUAAAUGUCAUUAGAAUCACUUGUCACAGUACAAGGAUGUUUAAUAUUUUAAUGUUUCUGAUGUAACAUUAGAAACACUUGUCACAACACAAGGUUGUCUAAUAUUUUAACUAUUUUAAAAAAUUACCCCAAUUUUCAGCACAGUAUAGACACCACGAAUUGAUUUAACAGAUGCAUAUACAUGAGACUCAUCUGAAUGGAAAGAAGUUUACACUUUACACUGAGUUUAAAGGUACCAUUAAAAGUUGUAUAUAUGGGCAUUAAUCUUUACUUCCAUGAUCUAUGUAGUUAGAUUAUACUCUCAGCCAUUUGUUCUCACAUUAAAAUUUAUUGUAAUUAAAUUGCAUGUUCUUGAUGAAAUCAAGGUAAAAAAUAUGUCUUCUAAAUACAAAGAUAGAAACUCGUUUAAUAAAAAAAAUGGUGAAAAGGAUCUGUAAUAAAUAAUAACCUUUAAAUAGCAGUUUAGAAUUUGGAGAUGACCAUAGAUGGUAUGGCAAAGAGAGAUGAUUCAACAGCUACGAUUAAGCUAUUAAUCUUGUCUAAGUUUAUAUCAAGAAAUACUUUGAACAGUGGUUGACAAGAAAUACUUUGAACAGUGGUUGACAAGAAAUACUUUGAACAGUGGUUGACAAGAAAUACUUUGAACAGUGGUUGACAAGAAAUACUUUGAACAGUGGUUGACAAGAAGUACUUUGAACAGUGGUUGACAAGAAAUAUUUUGUGAUUUUGUUACUUAUGAACAUCCAUUGUUAAAUGUGUUAAUUUUAUGUCAUAUAUAUUUUGAAGUUGUUAACUUAUAGUCAUGAAUAAAAUGGAUUCAACAAUUA